rnacentral:lncRNA from 1 species
AUGGAGCAUGUCUUCAACCUGAGCCUCAAGCUGAGGGUGGUACCACAGCUCUGGAAGACCUCCUGCGUGGUACCAGUGCCCAAGACACCGCACGCCAAAGACCCCAGCAGCUUCAGAGCAGUGGCUCUGACAUCACACCUGAUGAAGACACUGGAGAGACUGGUCCUGGGUCACCUCCGCUCUGCAGUGGGAACCUACCUGGACCCGCUGCAGUUCGCCUACCGACACGGCAUAGGAGUAGACGACGCUGUCAUCUUCCUCCUACAUCGAGCUCUUUCUCACCUAGAGAAGCCCGGCAGCACUGUGAGGAUCAUGAUCUUUGACUCCAGUGCCUUCAACACCAUCCAGCCGGUGCCUUGCAUUCUGCAAGGAGGAGGAGAUCCCCACUGCUCGCAGCUGGUUCUCAGCCAAUAUGAGAUCCAGUUUGGGCAGUACCGGGGACAGACCUUCAAGUGGCUCCUGAGUCACGACGUGGGCUACGCUGUGUCCCUGCUGGCCUCACACCAGAAGGAGCGGGAGAGUGGUGACACAUCCAGCUCACCACUUAUGGCCAACAAGGUGCUGUGGAGUACAACACAGAAAUAUCUCACUCAUCCUAGUACAGUAAAAGUAGAGCCAUUAUUAGAACUAUUAUAUGGAUCCCAACUCACACAGGUCAAUCAGAGCAAUCAUCAAGAAAUUCCUAUUUCUGUCAUAAUACACAUAUUCUGUUCUCCCGCUACACAGGAUGCCCUCACCUCCUACAGCAAGCUGUUCCCAGAGGUGAUGUCAGCCGUGGAGGGACGCCGUGCCACGGAGGGUUCCAAGUCUGUCCGGAGCCAAGACAAGAAGUUGGUGGGGUUCGGCCCCCACGGAGCCAUGACCUACGCCUCCAUGUACGAGGCCACGGGGAAAGAGGUUGAGACCUACGUGCAGUGGCUGAGGAAGAAGAAGUGCAUCCCAGGCAGCAACCUGCAUGCUUUAAAGACCUACAUACUGGGCCGGGACCAGGAGAAGAACCAGCAUCCCUCCCAGCAGCCCCAGUGCCCUCCAUCUGACAGUAGGUGUUCUGCUCCCAGUUUGCUUUCCUGCUGCCUGCACGCGUGUCUCUGA